rnacentral:lncRNA from 1 species
UAAUCUUCAUCAUGACCAGGAUUAGCCUAUACCAUGGAAGGAUGGCAUUUUAGGUGGAAAAUUGAAAGAAACGCUGUAUUUUGUUGAGAGUGGGGAGUUGCAGAGUCGACUGUUUACCAUAAAAAUAGGUCUCCACAAAGUUUUAAGAUCAUGCAUGAGGGUUGACGUCUAUCCAAUGCCGAAAGAUCAAGGAAGGUGAUGACCUGAUGAUCGAAGAAUGGGCUACCUUGUCAGAUAAGUUCCGACUCGCAUGAAAGGCGUAACGAUUUGGAUAGUGUCUUGAAGAAAGGUUCGAUGAAAUAGACUUGCCCACGAAUAUGCAAAUUAUCUGUGUUGUUUCACUUUCUGUUAAUGUUUUAUCUAUUUUGCCAUUCAAUAGUGACCGAAUGUCAAUUUGUAAACUCUUGAGUGGCAGCGCCCACCUAUAUGUUUUGAUAGGUAAAAGGAUAUAACGAGUUUGCUCAUUUUCUUAAGCUCGGGGGACCAACCUGCUUCUCAGUCAAUAGGUCAUGAUAAAAAAAAUGCAAUUUUCCAGUCUUGGUAGCAAUAUAUGAAAUACUUAUCAAGCAAAUUUUUAGUAGCACUGUGUGUUGUGGUUAUUUAUUUUGUAACGAUU